CGGGGAGACCGCGCGCAGGCGCGGGGCGGGAGCUGUCUCCCGCGCUGGAGCCCGGCCAGGCCGCGGGGCGCCGCAGCAAACAUGAAGGUCAUCACUUGUGAAAUAGUGUGGCACAAUAAGGAGCCUGUUUACAGCUUGGACUUCCAGCACGGAGCCGAUGGGAAGAUCAAUCGACUGGCCUCAGCAGGUGUGGACACAGCCGUUCGAAUAUGGAAGGUGGAAAAAGGGCCAGAUGGAAAAGCAAUUGUGGAAUUCUUGUCCAACCUUGCCCGCCAUACCAAAGCAGUAAAUGUUGUGCGCUUCUCUCCAAGUGGUGAGAUCCUAGCAUCUGGAGGAGAUGAUGCUGUUAUUUUAUUGUGGAAGCUGAAUGAUAGCAAAGAAUUGGAACCAUUGGUUUUUCAGGAAGAAGAUGAAGCUCAGCUCAACAAGGAGAACUGGGCAGUCAUUAAAACCUUAAGAGGCCACUUAGAAGAUGUAUACGAUAUCUGUUGGACCUCAGAUGGAAAUUACAUGGCGUCUGCUUCUGUAGAUAACACAGCUAUAAUGUGGGAUGUCAAUAAAGGACAGAAGGUUUCAAUAUUAAAUGAACACAAGAGUUAUGUCCAAGGAAUAACGUGGGAUCCUCUAGGCCAGUACAUUACAACUCUGAGUUGUGAUAGGGUCCUGCGGGUAUACAACACGCAGACCAAGCGUGUAGCGUUCAAUAUUACCAAGAUUGUAUCUGGAUCAGGAGCUGAAGGAGAGGCUAGGAGCUAUCGGAUGUUUCACGAUGACAGCAUGAAGUCAUUUUUCCGCAGGCUCAGUUUUACUCCUGAUGGCUCCUAUUUACUCACUCCAGCUGGCUGUGUUGAAUCAGGAGAAAAUGUAACAAACACCACGUAUGUUUUCUCCAGAAACAAUCUUAAAAGGCCUGUGGGUCACCUGCCAUGUCCUGGAAAAGCAACUCUUGCUGUUCGCUGCUGCCCUGUCUACUUUGAGUUGCGACGAGCAUUUAAUAAAGAUGAAAUUGGUCAGAAAUCGUCUCCUGCUCUAUUUAAUCUGCCCUAUCGACUGGUGUUUGCUGUUGCUUCAGAAGAUUCCGUGCUUUUUUAUGAUACUGAGCAGUCCUUCCCGUUUGGUUAUGUUUCUAACAUACAUUAUCACACCCUGAGUGACAUUUCGUGGUCCAGCGAUGGAGCCUUUCUUGCUAUCUCUUCCAUGGAUGGAUACUGUUCAUUUGUUACCUUUGAGAAGGAUGAACUUGGAAUACCACUGAAGGAGAAGCCACAGAUAAAUGUCAAGACUUCUGGUGUAACAGAGAAGAAAGUGAAAAAGAGCCAGCCACACAAAGUCAUUUCCCCAGGUUCUAGGCUGACAGAGGGGACUCCUCCCAGCAGGGUCACUGAUCCCAGCACUCCCACUCUCCAACCUAGAACACCCACCGCUGCUGGUAAGGACUUGCCUUCCACACCUGUAGUCAUAAAAAGCAUUCCAGUCUCAUCCUCAGACGAGAAGAAAAUCAACCAGUCAGCCAGCCAGAGUGCUAAAGCAAACCAGCCCAGGAGAAUUACUCUCAACACUUUACAAGCAUGGAGCAAGACGCCAAGGUGUCUGUCUUCAGGUCCCAUUUUCAGUACGAGGAUGGUACCUGAAGACUUCAGCUGACGAGAAUCAUUUAAAGGCUCUUCUGACAGGAAAUAUUUGAAGAAGAGUGCAAGUCUAGACAGGCCCUCAGUGUGCUCAGUCAUGGCUGUGAGACUUCAUGCAUUGAUUGAGGUCACUUCGUAAGGAGAGUAAACCUGAUUCCACUGAAGGCAGAUACGCCAGCCUCUGCAGACACAGUUCCUGUACCUCCUUCCUCAGAACAAGAACAUGAGAGGCCAUUACCAUCUGAUGACAGUCUUCAAAAUCCCCCAGCAUCGAAACGUCCUAGAACUGAGGACAUGUCUCCUUCUACAUCUGCUGAAGAUCAAAUUGUCUGUGAUUCAAACAAAUAAAGACUAAGCUUUUAGUAGACUCUUCACAGUCUGAAGGCAAUGCAGCCAUAUCUGAGAGUGCAUUUCCCCAAUUCCUGAUUAAAGUACCAUAUGUGUAUUUGACAUAGUGCUGUGAAGAAAGAAAGUGGCAGUAGAAGAUACAGGGUUCAGGAAGGUAGCUUUGCAGAAGAAGAAGUAAUUGGGAAGUGACUUUUAAGUGUUUCUACUUCUUGAAGACAGUAUUCUUCAAGAAAUGCCACUGCUUGAGGAAAUCGAGGAAAAUAUGGGUAUUGGUUACAGUAACCUAAAAGUCUACAUCAAAGUCCCGAAGUUGGUGUUCAUAAACUGUCACAUCUACCAGUAACCUGUCUGGCAAAAGCGUCAAGUUUCUAAGGACAUAAACACAUUCAUAAUGAUUUGCUGUGGUUUAAGGCCCCCUCCCCCCCCAAAAAAUAUCAGUUUCAUUCAGGCAUCUUGGCUUAUAUGCUUAGCAAUGUGCAAAAUAAUUCAUGCUCUCUAGCUCGUGUGGAGAGGAAGCUGAUGUUCACAAUGUCUGAAUGCAGCAGCAUACAGUAUGACUGGUAUGAUUGAAACAUAAAUCAGAACUUGCAACUACAAGAAACAAGAAAGCAGAAGGAAGAAACCCUCGGAAGACCUGUUGUAAGCAUUAAACAGUGGAAGAAAGUUCUGAAUUGUUUAGUUUCUGUAUUAAGAAAACCCCAAAACACGGACAUGAUGUUUCCUUGGGGCAGCAGGAUUUGAGCAUAUACAUUAGAAGUUUCCCCCUUUCAUUUUUUGCAAAUCUUAACUCCUUUAGUCAAUAGAAUACAAAUCCAGUUAUGUUAGACUUCUACAAGUUGGUUUCUUUCUAGCAUUUAAUGCUUGCACUAAGCGUUUAGCAUUUAAAAAUUGAACUAAGACCUGCAGGUUGAAAACAAUGAGACCAAAAUAUUUGAAAAUCACUACAUUGGGUUUGCUGUAGUGUGCAUAUUUAGCCUCCAGAAGUAGAAUGCUCAUCCACAGUAUUCUGAGCUCAUCCACUUAAUUUUGUUGAACAUCAUGGACUUUAUUUUGAAAAGAUAAUUCUUAAAAUGUGGAUGGUCAUUCUGGUUGAUGAUAGCAUGUGGAAGUUUUAAGCAGAUUUUUUUCUCAUGAUUUAGGCUAUUCUAUUAUUUGAAGUUCCACAACGCACAGGAAGUUAAAGCUGGAGUUCAUUUUAAAGCUCUGACUUCCAUUCUUCCCUGGAUUUGGUUGGUUUUAAGGUGUGUAAUUUACUUAGUGUUUGUUUUCUGACAGUUUCUAAGAAAAUGGACUAAUACUUUAGAAAAACAGAAAUGUUGCAGAAGUGAUUCAUAAAAAUUUCACAGGGAGGAAGUACUGUUAAUAACUUAGGUCAGUGUUUCAGGCAGAUGAAGUGUGUUGCUUACAAUUACAUUUCAACAGAAAUUAAUAAGCAAAGAGUUGUAAGAAGCUAACUGUAUCUUUGCCUUCAACCACUCAGAAGAGGAUGGGGCUUCAUUAAACUUAUCCAAACCUAGGGUUUCUUCUAGUGAGGAAUAUAGAUGAAACUGCCAAGCAAAGCCACAUCCAAAACUCUGUUUUCCCAAAAAAAUUUAUAGAGAUACCUAAAGCUUAUAGAAAUACCUGAAAAUUGACAGCUGAAGCAAAUAAUUGUAAGUAAUAUGCAUUGUUGGACUUGCUAUUUUAUGUUUUGCCCAGAUUGAGAUUGCUAUUUCAUCUUUCCAUAUGACAGUGACCCAGUUAGUACAGUACUACAGUGGGUUUUGUGCACUGCGAAGGAUCCUUUGAAUUAAAAUUUACACUUCUAAAUACUAGUUGCAAAGCUAUUGUAAUAGGUAUUUUUAAAUCUUUUGGGUUUUGGUUGUGGGGUUUUUGUUUGGUUGGUUUUUUUACACUGUAUUUCAAUAUGAACUACUCUUUCUGGAGAAAACAAGUAAGUUAGGUAUAUUAUUUUAGUGUUAUUGGCAUACCUGGUCUCUGUGGUCUUCAAUCUUCAGAUGCAAAUAAUUGCCAGAGUAUUCAUCUUUAUUUCAUGCCAUAACCAUUUAGGUCACAUCUACAUUUUUUUGUAUGAUUGCUCAGCUUAUUUUCAUUCUGCCUUAAAAUCUAAUUGGAGUUGUAAAGUUAAUGUGGCUUUCACUGCUGGAGACUGUUUUCACAUCAUGAUCUCUGUCAGAAUGCUCUACCUGAUAUUUCAACUUCCCUAAUAGGAAUUGUUUUCCCUUUCUAGUACUAGUUGUCUCUUGCCACUAUGAUUUCCUACUUCUCUGUUCAUUUUGUUACUUACUUGCUAUUCGUCAAAUUUAUACGGUACUAGGUUUUUAAGCUUUUUCUAUAAAUGGAUGCUGUCUUUUGUAUAAUAAAUUACUAUCUUUAACACUGACA